CCACUCGUUUGCCGGCCCGUGUUCAGGGUUAUCCGUGGCGUCUGGUCUACAGUACGGUGGUACACGGAACCAGCCUGAAAACCCUGUACAGGAACCUGAUGGAGCUGGACUGCCCUGUGCUGAUGGUCAUCAAAGACAUGGACAACCAGAUUUUUGGAGCGUUUUCCACUCACCCUUUCCGACUGAGUGAGCACUAUUAUGGGACAGGAGAGACCUUCCUCUACAGCUUCUGCCCAGAGAUCAAGGUUUACCGCUGGAAGGGUGAAAACUCAUACUUUGUGAAAGGAAACACGGAUUCCCUUCAGAUCGGCGGAGGA